GAUGAACGCUGGCGGCGUGCCUAAUACAUGCAAGUCGAGCGAACAGAUGAGGAGCUUGCUCCUCUGACGUUAGCGGCGGACGGGUGAGUAACACGUGGAUAACCUACCUAUAAGACUGGGAUAACUUCGGGACACCGGAGCUAAUACCGGAUAAUAUAUUGAACCGCAUGGUUCAAUAGUGAAAGACGGUUUUGCUGUCACUUAUAGAUGGAUCCGCGCCGCAUUAGCUAGUUGGUAAGGUAACGGCUUACCAAGGCAACGAUGCGUAGCCGACCUGAGAGGGUGAUAGGCCACACUGGAACUGAGACACGGUCCAGACUCCUACGGGAGGCAGCAGUAGGGAAUCUUCCGCAAUGGGCGAAAGCCUGACGGAGCAACGCCGCGUGAGUGAUGAAGGUCUUCGGAUCGUAAAACUCUGUUAUUAGGGAAGAACAAAUGUGUAAGUAACUAUGCACGUCUUGACGGUACCUAAUCAGAAAGCCACGGCUAACUACGUG
rnacentral:rRNA from 1 species